rnacentral:rRNA from 1 species
UGCGUAGGUGGUGGGGUAAGUCGGAUGUGAAAUCUCCGAGCUCAACUCGGAAAUGGCAUUGGAAACUACCCUGCUAGAGGGUCGGAGGGGGGACGUGGAAUACUUGGUGUAGCAGUGAAAUGCGUAGAUAUCAAGUGGAACACCAGUGGCGAAGGCGAGUCCCUGGACGACUCCUGACACUGAGGCACGAAAAGGCUAGGGGAAGGCAAACCAA